rnacentral:rRNA from 1 species
UACGUAGGCAGCGAGCGUUGUUCGGAAUUACUGGGCGUAAAGCGCGCGCAGGCGGUUUUUCAAGUCAGUGGUGAAAGCCCGGAGCUCAACUCCGGAAAUGCCAUUGAAACUGUGAAACUUGAGGAUGAGAGAGGUGAGUGGAAUUCCCAGUGUAGAGGUGAAAUUCGUAGAUAUUAGGAAGAACACCAGUGGCGAAGGCGGCUCACUGGUCCGGUACUGACGCUGAGGUGCGAAAGCGUGGGGAGCAAACAGG